CUUUAUUUGGCAUUUCUUGCCAAGUGGAACAAAACACACAUUUCAGGAUCACCAGAGCAGAAAUCAGUGUGCAAGGCGAGUUUGGCUCUGAUGGAUACCUGUUGCUUUGAGGAGGGCUUCCAAG
rnacentral:lncRNA from 1 species